rnacentral:piRNA from 1 species
UUGAAGUGUUAAGAAUAGAUGGGAUUG